AUGUGAAUGGCAUCAUUCGACAUUGAAAACUCCGGUGGAUAGAGAUGGGCACGCGCAAGAUUAGAUAGUUGGUGAGGUAACGGUCACAAGUCUACGGAUCUUUAAGGGGCCUGGANAAGGUGAUUCCCCAAAAUGGUACUGAAGAACACGGAACAAGACUCCUUACGGGGAAGCCAGCAGUGAGGAAUAUUUGGGACCAUGGGUGAAAGCCUGAUNCAGCAUUCCGGGGUGGAAGGANGAAUUGGCCUUAUUGGGUUUGGUAAACUUCCUUUUGGUAUAGGGGAUUAAACUUAACCUCGGUUGGAAGGGUUAACUUGAAGGGGUUACUUAUUACGGAAUUUAAGCCACCGGGUUAAAUUCCGGUUGGCCGGGAAGGCCCGGCGGGUAAUAACGACAGGUGGCAAGGCGGUUAAUCCGGGAUUUUAAUUGGGGGGUUUUAAAAGGGGGUCCCGGUAAGGCGGGAUUCUGGAAAUUCCAAGUGGGUGGAAAUUCUUCCACAGUUUAAACUUGGUGGAAAACUUGGCCAAUUUGGAUAACUUGGAGGGUUCUUGGAAUUGUUGUGAAAGUUAAAUUGGGAAUUAAGUUUUAAUGGUUAACGGG
rnacentral:rRNA from 1 species